GAUGAACGCUGGCGGCGUGCUUAACACAUGCAAGUCGAACGAUGAAGCCCAGCUUGCUGGGUGGAUUAGUGGCGAACGGGUGAGUAACACGUGAGUAACCUGCCCUUAACUCUGGGAUAAGCCUGGGAAACUGUGUCUAAUACCGGAUAGGAGCGUCCACCGCAUGGUGGGUGUUGGAAAGAUUUAUCGGUUUUGGAUGGACUCGCGGCCUAUCAGCUUGUUGGUGAGGUAAUGGCUCACCAAGGCGACGACGGGUAGCCGGCCUGAUAGGGUGACCGGCCACACUGGGACUGAGACACGGCCCAGACUCCUACGGGAGGCAGCAGUGGGGAAUAUUGCACAAUGGGCGCAAGCCUGAUGCAGCGACGCCGCGUGAGGGAUGACGGCCUUCGGGUUGUAAACCUCUUUCAGUAGGGAAGAAGCGAAAGUGACGGUACCUGCAGAAGAAGCACCGGCUAACUACGUG
rnacentral:rRNA from 1 species